rnacentral:rRNA from 1 species
AGUGAACGCUGGCGGUAGGCCUAACACAUGCAAGUCGAACGGCAGCACAGUAAGAGCUUGCUCUUACGGGUGGCGAGUGGCGGACGGGUGAGGAAUACAUCGGACUCUACUUUUUCGUGGGGGAUAACGUAGGGAAACUUACGCUAAUACCGCAUACGACCUACGGGUGAAAGCAGGGGAUCUUCGGACCUUGCGCGAUUGAAUGAGCCGAUGUCGGAUUAGCUAGUUGGCGGGGUAAAGGCCCACCAAGGCGACGAUCCGUAGCUGGUCUGAGAGGAUGAUCAGCCACACUGGAACUGAGACACGGUCCAGACUCCUACGGGAGGCAGCAGUGGGGAAUAUUGGACAAUGGGCGCAAGCCUGAUCCAGCCAUACCGCGUGGGUGAAGAAGGCCUUCGGGUUGUAAAGCCCUUUUGUUGGGAAAGAAAAGCAGCAGGUUAAUACCCCGCUGUUCCGACGGUACCCAAAGAAUAAGCACCGGCUAACUUCGUG